UGUAUGUAUUGAAAAUCUUGAUAUCACUGACAUCAAUGUUUGUACAAUAAUUUAUACAUAACGAUUAAAUCUGAUCAACUUGUUUAUAAACAUAUGAAUUUAUUUGAUACCAUGAUUAUGAUAAUGCUAAAGAAAACAUUGCUGUACGAAGAAGCAUAUAGAUUAAAAUAAACUGAAAGUUACAGGUAUUGGAAUGGAAAGACAAAAGAUGAAAUUUAUAUUGAAACUUCUGAACUUCCUUUGCAUUCAGUUCCAUUUUUUAAUCAAAACAAAAUACUUUUAUGUAAACUAAAAAUAUAUGUAUGAGUAAAUGUUAUAUUUAAAUAAUACUCAAAUAUUUUAAUGUAUUAAUACACUGACACACACAUUAUGUUUAUAAAUGCAACACAUUAUAACAGAUAAUUUCCUUAAUUCUUAAACCAGUAGUUAAACAACACAACAUGAAGUGAACUCAACGCUAGUCUCAGCUAAACUGAUCUUUCCUUCUGCACUUGCUACGGAGAACAGUUAUGCCAGGAUAUACUCAACACCUCCCAGAGCAUCCCUGACCAAUCAUAGGGAAUUUCCAACCAAUCCCUCGGAGUAGGUUCUCU